rnacentral:rRNA from 1 species
UGGGGAAUCUUGCACAAUGGGCGAAAGCCUGAUGCAGCAACGCCGCGUGGGGGAUGAAGCUUCUCGGAGUGUAAACCCCUUUCGACCUGGACGAAUGCCCGCAAGGGUUUGACGGUACAGGUAUAAGAAGCCCCGGCUAACUACGUGCCAGCAGCCGCGGUAAUACGUAGGGGGCCAGCGUUGCUCGGAAUUACUGGGCGUAAAGGGUCCGUAGGCGGUGUGAUAAGUCGAUAGUGAAAUCUCUGGGCUUAACCCAGAGGCUGCUAACGAAACUGUCAUGCUAGAGUGUGAGAGAGGCGAGUGGAAUUACGGGUGUAGCGGUGAAAUGCGUAGAUAUCCGUAGGAACAUCCGAGGCGAAAGCGGCUCGCUGGAUCACAACUGACGCUGAGGGACGAAAGCUAGGGGAGCAAACAGGAUUAGAUACCCCCGUAGUCC